rnacentral:rRNA from 1 species
CCUACGGGUGGCAGCAGUGGGGAAUAUUGCACAAUGGGGGGAACCCUGAUGCAGCAAUGCCGCGUGGGUGAAGAAGGUCUUCGGUUCGUAAAGUCCUGUCAGCAGGGAAGAAAAUGACAGUAUCUAACCAAUAAGCACCGGCUAACUACGUGCCAGCAGCCGCGGUAAUACGGAGGGGGCAAGCGUUACCCGGAUUUACUGGGGGUAAAGGGAGCGCAGGCGGUAUGGCAAGUCAGAUGUGAAAGCCCAGGGCUUAACCCUGGAACUGCAUUUGAAACUGGUAUACUGGAGUAUGGGAGAGGUAAGUGGAAUUCCUGGUGUAGCGGUGAAAUGCGUAGAGAUUAGGAGGAACACCAGUGGCGAAGGCGACUUACUGGACGAUAACUGACGCUGAGGCGCGAAAGCGUGGGGAGCAAACAGGAUUAGAUACCCCUGUAGUC